UACGUAGGGGGCAAGCGUUGUCCGGAUUUAUUGGGCGUAAAGAGCGUGUAGGCGGUCUGGUAGGUCCGUUGUGAAAACUCGAGACUCAACCUCGAGACGCCGAUGGAAACCAUCAGACUAGAGUCCGGAAGAGGAGAGUGGAAUUCCUGGUGUAGCGGUGAAAUGCGCAGAUAUCAGGAAGAACACCCGUGGCUAAGGCGGCUCUCUAGUACGGUACUGACGCUGAGACGCGAAAGCGUGGGGAGCGAACAGG
rnacentral:rRNA from 1 species